rnacentral:rRNA from 1 species
GAUGAACGCUGGCGGCGUGCCUAAUACAUGCAAGUCGAGCGAACAGAUGAGGAGCUUGCUCCUCUGACGUUAGCGGCGGACGGGUGAGUAACACGUGGAUAACCUACCUAUAAGACUGGGAUAACUUCGGGAAACCGGAGCUAAUACCGGAUAAUAUAUUGAACCGCAUGGUUCAAUAGUGAAAGACGGUUUUGCUGUCACUUAUAGAUGGAUCCACGCCGCAUUAGCUAGUUGGUAAGGUAACGGCUUACCAAGGCAACGAUGCGUAGCCGACCUGAGAGGGUGAUCGGCCACACUGGAACUGAGACACGGUCCAGACUCCUACGGGAGGCAGCAGUAGGGAAUCUUCCGCAAUGGGCGAAAGCUUGACGGAGCAACGCCGCGUGAGUGAUGAAGGUCUUCGGAUCGUAAAACUCUGUUAUUAGGGAAGAACAAAUGUGUAAGUAACUAUGCACGUCUUGACGGUACCUAAUCAGAAAGCCACGGCUAACUACGUG